rnacentral:rRNA from 1 species
CAUCGUUUUUCGAAAAUAAUUUAAAAUUUGAUCUGCUCAAUGAGGGUUUAAAUUGCCGCAGUAUUUUAAUUGUGCAAAGGUAGCAUAAUAAUUAGUUUCUUGAUUAGAAGCUGGAAUGAAUGAUUGGACGAUAAAAUGACUGUCUCUAAUUAAUUUGUUUAUGAAAUUUAUUUUUAAGUUAAAAAGCUUAAAUUUUCUUAAAAGACGAGAAGACCCUAUAGAGUUUAAUAUUAAUUUACUAUUUAAUGUUGGAAUUUGAAUAGUGAUUUAUUAUUUGGUUGGGGUGACUUAAAAAUUAAGCUAAUUUUUUAAUAGUUUAUGUUUCUGAUGUGAAAUUGUUUAAUUUAGUUUUUAAAUUUAAUAUAAAUUACCUUAGGGAUAACAGCGUAAUUUUUCUUAAAGUUCUUAUUGAAUGAAAAGUUUGCGACCUCGAUGUUGGAUUAAAAUUUAUUUUAGGUGUAGAAGCUUAAAAAUUAAGUCUGUUCGACUUUUAAAAUUUUACAUGAUCUGAGU